GGGAAAAAUAAAAGGUCUUGGUACCCAGAAUUCCUCCAUGAAAACAAUCAUAUUUAAUGUGACAUCAAUGUACUCUGAUGUAUUUAACAUUUAUAAUGUGUUCAGUCACUGUGUAAAUGAACAGUGAUUAAACAUUUUGCCAAUAGAGACUAUUAUAAUGAUCGGUUAUUGUGUACAUGAACUGUACAGAAACAAAUAAAUGUGUAAAUAAAUUCGACGCUGUUAGUUUCUGUGUAUGUGACAUUUACGGUGAUCAGUUAUUGUGUGCAUAUAUUCUACUGUGAUCUGGUAGUAUGUAAAUGAACUAUACAGCGAGCAGGGAUUGGUGAUUGAGCACUAAAGAGACCAUUAACUGUUAAUUCUGAUGGUAUUAGUUAAGUCAAUUGUCUUUAUAAAAUGUAUUUUAAAUAUCCCGUUUAAACAAGUAUAACAUGCUUAUUCAGUUAUAUAAAGAAGAACUUGACUUGGAAUGAAAAAUUUACUCGAUGUCACUCCCUACUUUGAAUUGUAGCAUAUUAAAAGCUGUCAUUUAUUUAAUAAAUCUACCUUAGUUUA
rnacentral:sRNA from 1 species